rnacentral:rRNA from 1 species
AGCGAACGCUGGCGGCAGGCUUAACACAUGCAAGUCGAACGGGCACUUCGGUGUCAGUGGCAGACGGGUGAGUAACACGUGGGAACGUACCUUUUGGCUCGGAACAACUGAGGGAAACUUCAGCUAAUACCGGAUAAGCCCUUACGGGGAAAGAUUUAUCGCCGAAAGGUCGGCCCGCGUCUGAUUAGCUAGUUGGUAGGGUAAUGGCCUACCAAGGCGACGAUCGGUAGCUGGUCUGAGAGGAUGAUCAGCCACAUUGGGACUGAGACACGGCCCAAGCUCCUACGGGAGGCAGCAGUGGGGAAUAUUGGACAAUGGAGGCAACCCUGAUCCAGCCAGGCCGCGUGAGUGAUGAAGGCCCUAGGGUUGUAAAGCUCUUUUGUGCGGGAAGAUAAGGACGGUACCGCAAGAAUAAGCCCCGGCUAACUUCGUGCCAGCCGCCGCCGUAA